UACGGGGGGGGCAAGCGUUGUUCGGAAUUACUGGGCGUAAAGGGCUCGUAGGCUGCCAACUAAGUCGGACGUGAAAUCCCUCGGCUUAACCGGGGAACUGCGUCUGAUACUGGAUGGCUUGAGUUUGGGAGAGGGAUGCGGAAUUCCAGGUGUAGCGGUGAAAUGCGUAGAUAUCUGGAGGAACACCGGUGGCGAAGGCGGCAUCCUGGACCAACACCGACGCUUAUGAGCGAAAGCCAGGGGAGCAAACGGG
rnacentral:rRNA from 1 species